AAAGGUCAAAUGUUGAUUUGAAGGUUUUAUGAUCAAAACCUUAGCAUGUUUGUUCAUUUACAGAAAAAGGAAAAAUCCCUGGUUAAAUACCAAGAAUUAUUGUGUUUGGGUGCUGUUUACUGCAUCCUUAAUACAUGCAAAGAAGGCCACUGGACUAAUAGUCCAGUGGUCAAGUGCUUGUCUCUAGGUGCUCAAGGUUCAAAACCUAGCCACACUCAUUUUCGUUUAAAUGUUUUUAAAACACACACACACACACAAAGAAAGAGCUCUAUUAUUAUUAUUAUUAUGGCACAGUAUAUAGGAUUACUAAUCAUGUUGUUUAAUUCUGGACAGGAUAAAUGGAGAAAUAUAAAU
rnacentral:misc_RNA from 1 species